CUCUCUUUAAAAUUGAUUGGUCUAAGAGUUACUUAAAUCAUCUCCCCUCCCCCCUUCCCCCCUCUGUGCGUGUGUGCGAUCCCAUGUGUCACUGCAUGAGUGGGAAAAUAAGUUAUUUUCUUAUGGGUUCAUGGCUCACCAAUUACCAUCUUAUUAUCGUGCUGAGUUUUCACCUGGAUCCUUUGUCUCAUGUUGAUCCCACAAGACUGAAUCCCUCGUGCAUUUGGUCGACCGCCAUCACAAUUUGAAGUUGUGUCGACAUAACCGCCC
rnacentral:lncRNA from 1 species